AAAUGAAUUGACGGGGGCCCGCACAAGCGGUGGAGCAUGUGGCUUAAUUCGAUGCAACGCGAAGAACCUUACCUGGUCUUGACAUGCAUUGGACCGCUCCUGAAAGGGAGCUUUCCUUCGGGACCGAUGCACAGGUGCUGCAUGGCUGUCGUCAGCUCGUGUCGUGAGAUGUUCGGUUAAGUCCGGCAACGAGCGCAACCCCUGUCCUUAGUUGCCAGCAUUCAGUUGGGGACUCUAGGGAGACAAACCUAUUAUAUAGGUGGGAAGGUGGGGAUGACGUCAAGUCAGUAUGGCCCUUACGACCAGGGCUGCACACGUGCUACAAUGCCCGGCACAAAGGGACGCGAAACCGCGAGGUGGAGCAAAUCCCCAAAACCGGGCUCAGUUCGGAUUGGAGUCUGCAACUCGACUCCAUGAAGUUGGAAUCGCUAGUAAUGCUGCAUCAGCUACGGCAGCGUGAAUACGUUCCCGGGCCUUGUACACACCGCCCGU
rnacentral:rRNA from 1 species